GUCCCGUUUGGGAGAGCAUGGCGCUUGCAAUGCCAGGGUUGUGGGUUCGAUUCCCACAGGGGACC
rnacentral:tRNA from 1 species